AUUUCCAGAGCCGAUAACUGGACCCUCAGCCAUUUGCCCUCUGCUGCACUGUUGAAAGACACUCUGCCCUGGAGCUGCCCUUCUCCUCCAGAAGAAUCUCCAGCUCAGCAGUGGCCGGAAGGGAGAUCUCCAAAUCCACCUCACCACAGUCUCAUCUCAUCUCCUGAUUUGGGACUUGAACCAUCUGUGCUGAGGGAUGCCCAGGGAAGGGCGUGGAAUUCCAAGCUGGCCAGUUUAGCCUCCUCACAGUGACCCGGAAGGGGAAACUGAGGGGGAGACCUGGGAGGCCGGGCCGAGGGGCCGGGCACGCUGGGAGCAAGCCGUGACCUGCAGUCUCUAGAUGGGAUGGCCUCGCGCUGGGGGACCGGGGGCCAUGGAGCCACCCACAGGCGUGCACCCGCAUUUCAUGAAGCGCCUACUGCUGGGCCCCCCAACGGAGGACAUUGGUGGCUCCUUCUCCCAGAGCAAGUGAUAGAAUUGGGGGUGCCGUGCUCCUGUUCCCCAUCGACCCUGGAACGGGAGCUGCCGCCACCUGGAGAAGCGGAGGGUGAGGCUGGUCCAGUUCAUUCCGUUGCCAGCAGAGCCUCUGGAACCCCUUUCAGGGAAUGUGCCCCCGGGCCUGUGGGUCUGACCUCACCCACAGGCAUCACCGGGCAGGUCCCGUCUUUUGCUUUGAGUGUCUUUCAGGGCUGCA